CCUACGGGAGGCAGCAGUGGGGAAUAUUGCACAAUGGGGGCAACCCUGAUGCAGCGACGCCGCGUGAGUGAAGAAGUAAUUCGUUAUGUAAAGCUCUAUCAGCAGGGAAGAAAAUGACGGUACCUGUGUAAGAAGCUCCGGCUAACUACGUGCCAGCAGCCGCGGUAAUACGUAGGGGGCAAGCGUUAUCCGGAUUUACUGGGUGUAAAGGGAGCGUAGACGGGAGUGCAAGUCUGGAGUGAAAGGCGGGGGCUCAACCCCCGGACUGCACUGGAAACUGUACGGCUGGAGUGCAGGAGAGGUAAGUGGAAUUCCUAGUGUAGCGGUGAAAUGCGUAGAUAUUAGGAGGAACACCAAUGGCGAAGGCGGCUUACUGGACUGUAACUGACGUUGAGGCUCGAAAGCGUGGGGAGCAAACAGGAUUAGAUACCCUUGUAGUC
rnacentral:rRNA from 1 species